CCGGCGACCGGCGCACGGGUGAGUAACACGUAUGCAACCUGCCCUCUUCAGGGGGACAACCUUCCGAAAGGGAGGCUAAUCCCGCGUAUAUCGGUUUCGGGCAUCCGAGAUCGAGGAAAGAUUCAUCGGAAGAGGAUGGGCAUGCGGCGCAUUAGGCAGUAGGCGGGGUAACGGCCCACCUAACCGACGAUGCGUAGGGGUUCUGAGAGGAAGGUCCCCCACACUGGUACUGAGACACGGACCAGACUCCUACGGGAGGCAGCAG
rnacentral:rRNA from 1 species